rnacentral:sRNA from 1 species
AAGUCGUAACAAGGUUUCCGUAGGUGAACCUGCGGAAGGAUCAUUACUGAACUGCUGACACGAGUUGUUGCUGGUCUCCAAACGGGGGCAUGUGCACGCUCUGUUUGUGCAUCCACUCACACCUGUGCACCUUCUGUAGUUCUGUGGCCUGGGGGACUCGUCCUCCUGCUGUGGUUCUGCAUCUUUACACUCACGCUGUGAUAAAGUCUAAUGGAAUGCAUGCCGCGUUUAACGCAAUACAAUACAACUUUCAGCAACGGAUCUCUUGGCUCUCGCAUCGAUGAAGAACGCAGCGAAAUGCGAUAAGUAAUGUGAAUUGCAGAAUUCAAUGAAUCAUCGAAUCUUUGAACGCACCUUGCGCCCUUUGGCUAUUCCGAAGGGCAUGCCUGUUUGAGUAUCAUGAACAUCUCAACUCCUCACGGUUUGCCCGUGAUGAGCUUGGACUUUGGGGGUCUUGCUGGCCUGCGGGUCGGCUCCUCUCAAAUGAAUCAGCUUGCCAGUGUUUGGUGGCGUCACAGGUGUGAUAACUAUCUACGCUUGUGGUUUUCCGCCAGGUAACCUCCAGCAAUGGGGGUUCACUGGAGCUCACAAAUGUCUCUCCUCGGCGAGGACAGCUCUUUGAACGUUUGAUCUCAAAUCAGGUAGGACUACCCGCUGAACUUAA